AUUGAACGCUGGCGGCAGGCCUAACACAUGCAAGUCGAGCGGAUGAAGGGAGCCUGCUCCUGGAUUCAGCGGCGGACGGGUGAGUAAUGCCUAGGAAUCUGCCUGGUAGUGGGGGAUAACGUCCGGAAACGGGCGCUAAUACCGCAUACGUCCUGAGGGAGAAAGUGGGGGAUCUUCGGACCUCACGCUAUCAGAUGAGCCUAGGUCGGAUUAGCUAGUUGGUGGGGUAAAGGCCUACCAAGGCGACGAUCCGUAACUGGUCUGAGAGGAUGAUCAGUCACACUGGAACUGAGACACGGUCCAGACUCCUACGGGAGGCAGCAGUGGGGAAUAUUGGACAAUGGGCGAAAGCCUGAUCCAGCCAUGCCGCGUGUGUGAAGAAGGUCUACGGAUUGUAAAGCACUUUAAGUUGGGAGGAAGGGCAGUAAGUUAAUACCUUGCUGUUUUGACGUUACCAACAGAAUAAGCACCGGCUAACUUCGUG
rnacentral:rRNA from 1 species